rnacentral:lncRNA from 1 species
UACCUAACUGAUCCAUUCUUUUUUUUUUUUUUGUAAUAUUUAUUUUUUAGUUAUAGUUGGGCACAAUACCUUUAUUUAUUUUUAUGUGGUGCUGAAGAUAGAAGCCAGUGCCUCAUGCAUGCCAAGCAAGCACUCCACUGCUGAGCCACAACCCCAGUCCUCUGAUCCAUUCUUAAUGACAAUUGUCAGAGAACUAUUUAAGCAUCUGGUUUGAGUCACAGUUUGAUUUAAGCUCAUUUUUUUUCCUUUCGAAAACUGAUUACCACUCAAAACCAUCUUCUUGAGAUAUAUUACUAUUCUUGGAUUAUAGCACAACAUAAUUAUGAUUUCUCUAAUUUAAUGCAUCUAUUUAAUGUAUGCAUCCAAGGCAUCCACUUACCGAUUCUCAUGGACAUCUUUCUAUACCUAUGUGUGAAUAUUGGGAGAACCCAUCCCCCACUAGACUACCUGACUGGCAAAUUUAGUACCUUCUGUGGCUCCUCCAUGACAGGUACAGGCCCCACUGGGGAGGACUGUGGUACACAGCAAUGCUGUGACUGAGUGGUGAGUAGGCCUCAGGAAGAAUGAAGUAUUAGCAUGUCCUUGUGGCUGGAAAUCCAAGCCAUUCCUUUAAUAUCAGUUUUAUCAGUGAUCAAACUGAUAUUUUCUCUGCCUGGUUUCUAUGUUGUCUAAUAUGGUUCGAAAUUUGGGCAGAGAGGAAAAAGUGGAUUUUUUUUUUUUAAAUUAGGUUUAUGAGCUGCAUCUUUCUGUGCCUCAUUUUCUCACUGAGAAAAGAAAAUCUUAAUGAUAUCGACUUCACAAAGCUGUUAAAAGAACUAAAUGGUUUCAUUCACCUGUACAACCUAAAAUAGGACCUGGCCCAUAGAAAGUAUUCAUUAAAUGUUGGAUAUGAUUUAUAUUAUUUUAAUUUAAUUAUCAUGCUAUUCUGCAACUUCUCGUACCUUUGUUUCAGUCAAACACACAGCAUGAGUGUCUUUCCCUAUGCAUAAAUGCAUUUCUACGGGCUUGUGACUAGUGGCCCCUCGGAUUUCACUGGAUAAAAGUUCUACAACUGGUCUACCAAUCCCUCAUUGUCCCCUCUUUAAACACAUAGCUUGAAAUUUUUAGGAAAAAUGUGGAAUAAAUUUGACCUAAUAAACCUCUUCCAAAUAUUAACAAAGAUGAGCUAACAAGAUAAAAAUAAAAAGAGAAGUUUUUAUUAGUCCUAAAACCAGGAAAUGGUUCCAAUGUCAUUUCAUAAAUGUUGAAUAUUUCCCAGAUACAGAACAGCUUGACCCAGCUGAAAGAAAAUAUCUAUAAUCAACUUUAGCAUACUGUUUUGAGCACUUGACAAUAAUUAACAAAGGUUAUCCAAAGAUCUGAGCAAUAAAAUAAGCAAGAUUGAGCUUCGUGUUCUCACAAUUUUUAGAUCAUCCCCCAUUCCAGUAAAUUCAACCACCCCAUCUUCCUGAAAUAUUCAUAUUCUGAAAACAAGGUUUUUACAAUAUUCCCCAAGCAAAGUUACACUAUAACAUGGAACAUGCUUUGUAAAACAACACACUUCAGCUCUCUCCCCCUGCUGCUACUUUUUCUUACCUUUUACCUUCAGUUGAAAAUCACCAAUUUGAUUAAUAGUUGUAUAUUGAACUCUGAAAGCAGAGGGUACACCUCCUUCUCCAGCUCCAUGAAACUUUUAAUGAAAUUAUGGAGUUAAGAAAGAAAAGAAUUUGAAUUUUCUUCUUUAUUUUGGUUACAUUCCCCAGUCGUUGGUCCCUUCCCUCUCCCCUUCCUGCUCAGGAUCUAGUUUAAGUAUUAGCUAAAUGGUUUGAAGAUUUCAGAAAUCCACUAAGACUUCUAUGAUGGGCUUGGUUUUUAAAUGUAACUUGGGUUUCCAUGGGCAUAUCAAGCUAAGGGCAGAGUUUACAGCAGUGUUUCAAUAAUAAUAAGCAAUAUUAAUAUUCUGAUUCUUUUCAUUUGUAUUAUAAAAUUGUUAAAUUAUUUGAUCAAAUUAUUAAAUUAUUUGAAUAAAGUUACUUCCAUCAUGAAUGGUGUUUUCUUUGUAUGAACUCUCUAGAGACCUCUGGAUUCGUCUAAUGUAGAAAGGUCACAGGGGUGAUAGAGAAAGUUCAUUGUUUAGCCUGUAAUCCCAGCAGCUCGGGAAGCUGAGGCAGAAGGAUUGCAAGUUCAAAGCCAAAACCAACCUCAUCAUUUUAGAAAAGGCCCUAAACUACUUAGUAAGACCCUGUCUCAAAAUUUAAAAUCAAAAGGCUGGGGGUGUUGCUCAGUGGUUAAGCACCCCUGGGUUCAAUCCCUAC